AGCACGCCGGAGGCCUGGCCUGUGGAUGAGAUUGUUCCUUAUUUCCCCAGCUUCAGCACCACAGAAGAGACCAGAGUCUACCUUGCCAGCUCCUCUAGCACCGACCACGUGCCAAUUCAUGUCCUGAAUGCUCACUUCACUUCUUCACCUUGCUUCACUUCACUUACUGCACGGGAACAGAAAAGCCUAGAGAGGAUGGAUUACCUGUGCGGUUGCCUCCCUCUGCAGAGUGGGCGUGUCUCAGGAGCUUCUCUUCUUCUCCAGCCCAGUGCGGCCUCGUGUCAUCCAUAGGACCCACCGGCAGAGGGCAGGGCCUGCGAGUGGGGCCAGCCUCCUGGUGACUCUCGCCUCCUCUUUUCCAGCGGACGCUACCAGAGGACGAAGGUCUGACUCUGGCCAACGGCCCAGAAUUUCUGGCCCAGUUUUGCCUGAGGAAGCCAACUGUGCAGGAGGUCAGGAUCCCGGUAGGGUGAGAGUGGGAAAGUUAACAUUCCCAAGAGACUCCAAGCAACAGGAUUUCCUGACCUGGGACUAUUACCUUUCUCACAUUACAUGGCCAGAUUUACUUCCUGCUAUUAUUAAAAGUACGAAAAAGAUGAAGAUAUGUGUUUAAUGGAAACAAGGGCAAGAGUUUGCCUGACUGGACUUUGAGGAGGCUGUAGGAUCAUGGCGCUAACGGCAUUUGGAGGGCUGGGAAGGGACUCUAGCCCUGGCUUUACCUGCCUUUGUCAUCAGCUGGAGCAAGCAACUCCGCAACCUCGGAGCCUCAGUUUCCUUUUCUGUAAAAGGCGGGGAGGGUGGGUGGUAAGUGCAAUGCUGAAUCAGAACUCAUAGAGCUGCUGGGUGGACAUGUGAAGUAAAAGAGGAGACAGCUUUUGCUCCUGAAGGAUGCCAUUUGCGUUUUCCUCAUCAGUUUGAUCUCCUCCAAUCAUCCAGCACCUCCAUCUGACCUUCUCAGCUGAGAGGUCCUCAGUGUUUCUGUGGCCUCCAGGAGAAAGGUCCCCCUCCCCGGCUGAGGCCAGGCUGAUGGCAGGCUGCACGGCCAGCCUUCCACAGUCACCUGAAGGAUACAGAAAAGGAAGAGCUGGAGGCUUCUAGCAAGCUGCCGAACUGUGUCCUCCAGCUGCGCCCAGCCCCCUGGAGGUAGCGCCGGAGCACGUGGUGGUGGCUAUGUAGGAAGGCCCCUUUCGAGCCGCCCUAUACUGUCUUUGGGAUCUGCUUUUUACUGCCACAGCCUAUGUGCUCCUGAUUCUUCUCUCAAUCCCUGGAUGGAAACCGGCCUCUGAUACUUGGCUCUGCUUCCUUGGAGGAGCUACUUAACCAUUCAGUCCUCUCUGCAGUUAGCUAUUAAGGUUGUCCUGCGAACUGAAGCAGAGAGUCCCCGCAAAGGGUGCAGAGUAGGGCACCCACAGAGGAGCCUCUAAAGCACUUUCCAUGAGGUGGAUGGCUUCUCCUCCCCAAGGGACCCAGGAAGGAAAGGAGAGCUGGAAAGCCCCAAGAAGAUGCUAGUAUCAUCAUCACCCCCGUUUAACAGAUGGGAAAAUGGACUUAGAAGGAUUAACCAAUUGUCGCAUGGCUAGUGAGUAGGGCAGUGUCAGUUUUGCUUCCAGGUCCAAAGUCUGGAUCGCCCAUUAUGUAGUGGUUCUUAGAGUAAGGCCUGAUUCCUUCUGGGCCUCAGUUUUCCCAGCUGCAGAGUGGCAGGUUCUAGCUACCAGAAGGCAGGCUAAACUCAUGAAGCCCAGGCCUGCCCGAUCAGCAUCUCCCUCGGGCAGUCAGCUCUGGCCUACAGGUGUUUGACACACUUAUGCUCAGCCACAGGCCCUGGGUGUAUGAAAAAGUGAUCCUGAUCGACAGGCACCUUAGCUUGGGGCUCAGUCAGUCAUAAAUGAGGCGACAGUUCACCUGUCUCAAAGGUGGCAACUUAAAUAACUCCCUCUGGGAUAUCAAAGCUGGCAAAUGACCCUGGGAAACAGCUAGACGGCAGCACAACAGAGGCAGCUCCCGCGGCAGAUGGGCACAUUCCCCAGGUCCCAACCUUCAUCAGUGUGUGUCAUUUUUAUUGCAGCUUCUGCCUCCCCAGCAGAGAGGGACCUUCCCAGAGAAGAUGUCUUGCGCCUCACCUGAUCUUGUUCUGAGAGUAGGAGACUGGAAGAGAAGCGUUCAACUCCCCAAACACAGCUGGGUUUGUUUCGUUUAAUCUCCCAGCCUGUUUUUCUGCUGUCCUCCUGAAGAAUGUUUAAUCUCACAGUUAAAACCACCAAAAGCGACUUUUUUCCCCCUCAACUGCUCAGUAACACAUGACCGUGCAAAUUCGUUUGGCCCCAGCGCCACAAGUCAUAAAAGGCAUCUAGUGGGCGGCAUGAGUCAAUCAGGCCUUUGGACGGUGACGUAACCACAGCUUGUCAGUUUCCCCAUCCAGGCAGCCCCAAUCCCCCAGUGCAGACAUCUGGAGCCAGGGAUUGACAAGUGGAUUCCAGGAUUGGGCCCUGCCUCCCGCCCUGUUCAGUUCCAGCCCAGCCACGGCCGCCGCCAACGAGGACACGCACUGUCUUUCUGCACAUUCCCACGUACACACACCCCCGCAGCCCCCUCUCCACUCAUUCCUGCAUUUCCGGCAAUGUGAAUUCUGACAGCUCGGGCAGUGUCAGCCUCUCCGGUGCAUUCCUCACCACACCACCUCACUGCUCCCGAGCCUGCUGACAGCACUCCCCGCCAUACCUACCAAGCCGAAGGUGCAAGGAACCUCUUGAUCCCCACUGUGUCUUUGUCCCAGGGCCACAGCAAAAUAGCACCCCCCUCCCCCACACACCCUCUAGCCUAAUUUAUUAGACUUUUAAACACAUUUAUUUACUGUGAUAUCUACACCACACCAAACAUCUGGAGGGAAACCGGGAGACAAUCCACCAGGAAUUUAAAUGUUUGUUCUGCAAUGUAACUUUGAAAACCGAACCAGGAAAACUUGACAUCUUUAGCCAAUUGCUUGGUGUGAAAUCCAAUGGGAUAUUGGGGCCUGCAAAGGAGAAGAGGAGAUCCGCACAAACCCGUUCCUGGCUGCUGCAUUCACCUCCAGCGUUUGUGAUGCCCCAGAGCACAGAACUCCAGGGAGCCCACGAUGCAGGAGAGUUCAGCGACAUUCACUGAGUACAAGAGAAGUGAGUUACUCCUGCAGCUGAGCACGGGGGGCGCUGGCAACUGCGAAAGGUCUCGCUUUCCAUUCCAACCAGAACUUGCUCCUAGCGCAGACAGAAGGCCGUGGCAUUCUGAGAAACACACAUGAUGAAGGAGCCCUGUCAUAUCCUCUCUUCCUUGCAUCGCUUCCCCGUGUGAGCAACCACUUGUGCUGGAAAUGAUGACAAGGAAGGACCGGGAAAGACAGGGCCACCCGCAGUUCCUUUUCCUUGACGUCUUUCCUUCCUCAUCAGCGAGCUGAGGUGGAGAGCGUUGGUAGAAUGUGUGCAUAAUAAGAAGUGAAAUAAAAACAGUCGAGUUAGUAUUCUACUGUUUCCACUGUUCUGGUGAGAACAAAACACAUAUGCUGUAUAUGCUUUGAAAUACAAAGUGUGUAAUUUUAGUGAUUCUGCAUAGGAGUUAAAUGUUUUUAUAUUUGCAUUUAAAACUGCCAUUGUAUACUAUAAAGAUAAAGAGUAAAAUGUAUUCUAAUAGUUUAACUUUACUAAUAAUUUAGUUUUUACUUUUAUUUACCUAGAGUAACAUUAAAUAGCAAACAAACAAAACAAACAUCACAAGUUGAGAGAGAAACCACAAAAGAAAGAAAAAAGCUUUAUAUGUUAGUACCUUGAGAGGCACUUU
rnacentral:lncRNA from 1 species